GGAUUCCCCUAGUAACGGCGAGUGAAGAGGGAAAAGCUCAAAUUUUAAAUCUGACGUCUUCGGCGUCCGAGUUGUAAUCUAGAGAAGUGUUUUCCGUGUAGGACCGUGCACAAGUUCCCUGGAACGGGGCGUCAUAGAGGGUGAGAAUCCCGUAUGUGGCACGGACUCCCUGCGCUUUUGUGAUACACUCUCGACGAGUCGAGUUGUUUGGGAAUGCAGCUCAAAAUGGGUGGUAAAUUCCAUCUAAAGCUAAAUAUUGGCGAGAGACCGAUAGCGAACAAGUACCGCGAGGGAAAGAUGAAAAGCACUUUGGAAAGAGAGUGAAACAGUACGUGAAAUUGUUGAAAGGGAAGCGUUUGAAGUCAGUCGCAUCUCUCGGGACUCAGCCCGGCUUCUGCCCGGUGUACUUCCUGUUGGGUGGGUCAGUGUCAGUUUCGGACGAGGGAGAAAGGCUUGGGGAAUGUGGCAGUCUUCGGGCUGUGUUAUAGCCCCUUGUUGUAUGCCUCGACUGGGACUGAGGACCGCAGCGCGCCUUUUUGGCCGGGGUUCGCGCCCUCGGUACGCGCUUAGGAUACUGGCAUAAUGGCUUUAAGCGA
rnacentral:rRNA from 1 species